rnacentral:rRNA from 1 species
AGUGGAAGCGUCUGGAAAGGCGCGCGAUACAGGGUGACAGCCCCGUACACAAAAGCGCAUGUGCUGUGAGCUCGAUGAGUAGGGCGGGACACGUGGUAUCCUGUCUGAAUAUGGGGGGACCAUCCUCCAAGGCUAAAUACUCCUGACUGACCGAUAGUGAACCAGUACCGUGAGGGAAAGGCGAAAAGAACCCCGGCGAGGGGAGUGAAAAAGAACCUGAAACCGUGUACGUACAAGCAGUGGGAGCCCCACCACCAAAGCAUUUGCUGUACCGCGUUGACGGAGCGAAGCGACGUCAAACCGAUAAAACAGCAGUGUAAAGUGAGCCGCAGGGCGCUUUGCGCGACAGCGCAAAGGCAGGCGGUUUCGCGUAGCGAAAGCGAAUGCUUUGGGGUGGGGUGACUGCGUACCUUUUGUAUAAUGGGUCAGCGACUUAUAUUCUGUAGCAAGGUUAACCGAAUAGGGGAGCCGGAGGGAAACCGAGUCUUAAUUGGGCGUUAAGUUGCAGGGUAUAGACCCGAAACCCGGUGAUCUAGCCAUGGGCAGGUUGAAGGUUGGGUAACACUAACUGGAGGACCGAACCGACUAAUGUUGAAAAAUUAGCGGAUGACCUGUGGCUGGGGGUGAAAGGCCAAUCAAACCGGGAGAUAGCUGGUUCUCCCCGAAAGCUAUUUAGGUAGCGCCUCGUGAAUUCAUCUCCGGGGGUAGAGCACUGUUUCGGCUAGGGGGCCAUCCCGGCUUACCAACCCGAUGCAAACUGCGAAUACCGGAGAAUGUUAUCACGGGAGACACACGGCGGGUGCUAACGUCCGUCGUGAAGAGGGAAACAACCCAGACCGCCAGCUAAGGUCCCAAAGUCAUGGUUAAGUGGGAAACGAUGUGGGAAGGCCCAGACAGCCAGGAUGUUGGCUUAGAAGCAGCCAUCAUUUAAAGAAAGCGUAAUAGCUCACUGGUCGAGUCGGCCUGCGCGGAAGAUGUAACGGGGCUAAACCAUGCACCGAAGCUGCGGCAGCGACACUGUGUGUUGUUGGGUAGGGGAGCGUUCUGUAAGCCUGUGAAGGUGUGUCGUGAGGCAUGCUGGAGGUAUCAGAAGUGCGAAUGCUGACAUAAGUAACGAUAAAGCGGGUGAAAAGCCCGCUCGCCGGAAGACCAAGGGUUCCUGUCCAACGUUAAUCGGGGCAGGGUGAGUCGACCCCUAAGGCGAGGCCGAAAGGCGUAGUCGAUGGGAAACGGGUUAAUAUUCCCGUACUUGGUGUUACUGCGAAGGGGGGACGGAGAAGGCUAUGUUGGCCGGGCGACGGUUGUCCCGGUUUAAGCGUGUAGGUGUGUGUUCCAGGUAAAUCCGGUUCACUUUAACACUGAGGCGUGACGACGAGGCACUACGGUGCUGAAGCAACAAAUGCCCUGCUUCCAGGAAAAGCCUCUAAGCAUCAGGUAACAUCAAAUCGUACCCCAAACCGACACAGGUGGUCAGGUAGAGAAUACCAAGGCGCUUGAGAGAACUCGGGUGAAGGAACUAGGCAAAAUGGUGCCGUAACUUCGGGAGAAGGCACGCUGACACGUAGGUGAAGUGAUUUACUCAUGGAGCUGAAGUCAGUCGAAGAUACCAGCUGGCUGCAACUGUUUAUUAAAAACACAGCACUGUGCAAACACGAAAGUGGACGUAUACGGUGUGACGCCUGCCCGGUGCCGGAAGGUUAAUUGAUGGGGUCAGCGCAAGCGAAGCUCCUGAUCGAAGCCCCGGUAAACGGCGGCCGUAACUAUAACGGUCCUAAGGUAGCGAAAUUCCUUGUCGGGUAAGUUCCGACCUGCACGAAUGGCGUAAUGAUGGCCAGGCUGUCUCCACCCGAGACUCAGUGAAAUUGAACUCGCUGUGAAGAUGCAGUGUACCCGCGGCAAGACGGAAAGACCCCGUGAACCUUUACUAUAGCUUGACACUGAACAUUGAGCCUUGAUGUGUAGGAUAGGUGGGAGGCUUUGAAGUGUGGACGCCAGUCUGCAUGGAGCCGACCUUGAAAUACCACCCUUUAAUGUUUGAUGUUCUAACGUGGACCCGUUACCCGGGUUGCGGACAGUGUCUGGUGGGUAGUUUGACUGGGGCGGUCUCCUCCUAAAGAGUAACGGAGGAGCACGAAGGUUGGCUAAUCCUGGUCGGACAUCAGGAGGUUAGUGCAAUGGCAUAAGCCAGCUUGACUGCGAGCGUGACGGCGCGAGCAGGUGCGAAAGCAGGUCAUAGUGAUCCGGUGGUUCUGAAUGGAAGGGCCAUCGCUCAACGGAUAAAAGGUACUCCGGGGAUAACAGGCUGAUACCGCCCAAGAGUUCAUAUCGACGGCGGUGUUUGGCACCUCGAUGUCGGCUCAUCACAUCCUGGGGCUGAAGUAGGUCCCAAGGGUAUGGCUGUUCGCCAUUUAAAGUGGUACGCGAGCUGGGUUUAGAACGUCGUGAGACAGUUCGGUCCCUAUCUGCCGUGGGCGCUGGAGAACUGAGGGGGGCUGCUCCUAGUACGAGAGGACCGGAGUGGACGCAUCACUGGUGUUCGGGUUGUCAUGCCAAUGGCACUGCCCGGUAGCUAAAUGCGGAAGAGAUAAGUGCUGAAAGCAUCUAAGCACGAAACUUGCCCCGA